GCUGGUAGUCCUCGUAGGCGGUCUGGACCGUCUGAAUAUGUGGAGAAGAGAAAUAUUUUGUACUGGUGGGAAUCGAACUGAUCGAACCCAAGCUGUUCAGCCCAUACUCAUUUGCUGUAUGAUUGAGCUAUUUCGACUGCCGCUCACUUAUAGUUGUAGCGAGGCCAAAUCUUGGUAAAAAAUGUGGAACAGACCUAGAGAAGAUGAGUAGCAGCUGUAAAAGGCAUGACAGUGAUUGGUCCAAGUUCAUAUGAACCUUGAUACUUUCUUGAGGGAUGUCACACUGUCUAGUCUUUCAGAUGUUUACUGACUUUCAGAGGAAUGUAGUGCCUUCAUCUUCAGGUUGAAGAGUAAACCAAACAAGCAAACAGCAUACUUCAUAACUAACCAAAGAAUGGAACAUGUUGUUGCUUGAUUCCAUGGAUGAACUUCAGAACAUGUUGCAAUCAUGCUUACAUGCUUCAGGGCAUCCUUGAAGGAAAUAGGGGAUCACUUCCAGCAGUUCUUGUAAAAUAUGAAUCAUUGUGAUGUAACUGGGAGAGUUGCAGGUUCAAGAUGUAUGCUCUUACUGAUUUGCUGCACAAUGGCAGACUUGAGUUCCU